rnacentral:rRNA from 1 species
AUUGAACGCUGGCGGCAGGCCUAACACAUGCAAGUCGAGCGGAUGAAGGGAGCUUGCUCCUGGAUUCAGCGGCGGACGGGUGAGUAAUGCCUAGGAAUCUGCCUGGUAGUGGGGGAUAACGUCCGGAAACGGGCGCUAAUACCGCAUACGUCCUGAGGGAGAAAGUGGGGGAUCUUCGGACCUCACGCUAUCAGAUGCGCCUAGGUCGGAUUAGCUAGUUGGUGGGGUAAAGGCCUACCAAGGCGACGAUCCGUAACUGGUCUGAGAGGAUGAUCAGUCACACUGGAACUGAGACACGGUCCAGACUCCUACGGGAGGCAGCAGUGGGGAAUAUUGGACAAUGGGCGAAAGCCUGAUCCAGCCAUGCCGCGUGUGUGAAGAAGGUCUUCGGAUCGUAAAGCACUUUAAGUUGGGAGGAAGGGCAGUAAGUUAAUACCUUGCUGUUUUGACGGUACCAACAGAAUAAGCACCGGCUAACUUCGUG